GUGGGGAAUAUUGGACAAUGGGCGAAAGCCUGAUCCAGCCAUGCCGCGUGGGUGAUGAAGGCCUUAGGGUUGUAAAGCCCUUUCGGCGGGGAAGAUAAUGACGGUACCCGCAGAAGAAGCCCCGGCUAACUUCGUGCCAGCAGCCGCGGUAAUACGAAGGGGGCUAGCGUUGUUCGGAUUUACUGGGCGUAAAGCGCACGUAGGCGGAUCGUUAAGUCGGGGGUGAAAUCCUGGAGCUCAACUCCAGAACUGCCUUCGAUACUGGCGAUCUCGAGUCCGGAAGAGGUGAGUGGAACUCCUAGUGUAGAGGUGGAAUUCGUAGAUAUUAGGAAGAACACCAGUGGCGAAGGCGGCUCACUGGUCCGGUACUGACGCUGAGGUGCGAAAGCGUGGGGAGCAAACAGG
rnacentral:rRNA from 1 species